AGUCGAGCGGAUGAGUGGAGCUUGCUCCAUGAUUCAGCGGCGGACGGGUGAGUAAUGCCUAGGAAUCUGCCUGGUAGUGGGGGACAACGUUUCGAAAGGAACGCUAAUACCGCAUACGUCCUACGGGAGAAAGUGGGGGAUCUUCGGACCUCACGCUAUCAGAUGAGCCUAGGUCGGAUUAGCUAGUUGGUGAGGUAAAGGCUCACCAAGGCGACGAUCCGUAACUGGUCUGAGAGGAUGAUCAGUCACACUGGAACUGAGACACGGUCCAGACUCCUACGGGAGGCAGCAGUGGGGAAUAUUGGACAAUGGGCGAAAGCCUGAUCCAGCCAUGCCGCGUGUGUGAAGAAGGUCUUCGGAUUGUAAAGCACUUUAAGUUGGGAGGAAGGGCAGUAAGUUAAUACCUUGCUGUUUUGACGUUACCGACAGAAUAAGCACCGGCUAACUUCGUGCCAGCAGCCGCGGUAAUACGAAGGGUGCAAGCGUUAAUCGGAAUUACUGGGCGUAAAGCGCGCGUAGGUGGUUCGUUAAGUUGGAUGUGAAAGCCCCGGGCUCAACCUGGGAACUGCAUCCAAAACUGGCGAGCUAGAGUAUGGCAGAGGGUGGUGGAAUUUCCUGUGUAGCGGUGAAAUGCGUAGAUAUAGGAAGGAACACCAGUGGCGAAGGCGACCACCUGGGCUAAUACUGACACUG
rnacentral:rRNA from 1 species